UCCCAGACUCCUACGGGAGGCAGCAGUGAGGAAUAUUGGUCAAUGGCCGCAGGGCUGAACCAGCCAAGUCGCGUGAGGGAUGACGGUCCUAUGGAUUGUAAACCUCUUUUGUCAGGGAGCAAAGGGCGCCACGUGUGGCGUUUUGCGAGUACCUGAAGAAAAAGCAUCGGCUAACUCCGUGCCAGCAGCCGCGGUAAUACGGAGGAUGCGAGCGUUAUCCGGAUUUAUUGGGUUUAAAGGGUGCGUAGGCGGGCUGUUAAGUCAGCGGUCAAAUGUCGGGGCUCAACCCCGGCCUGCCGUUGAAACUGGCGGCCUCGAGUGGGCGAGAAGUAUGCGGAAUGCGUGGUGUAGCGGUGAAAUGCAUAGAUAUCACACAGAACACCGAUUGCGAAGGCAUCUGACGAAUCGGAGAUUGACGCUGAUGCACGAAAGCGUGGGUAUCGAACAGGAUUAGAUACCCUCGUAG
rnacentral:rRNA from 1 species